CCUUGUUAGCUUACCCCCAGCUCGGCCUUCCCUGCAAAAGAUCCAACCCCUUGGAACCUGGGCUGGUUAGCUUCUGGAUUUUCCCAAUCCCCAAAAUUGACCAAGUCGGUCCGACUCGGUCAGCGCCAUUGCACCCUUGCAUACCCUGACCCUCGUUACCGAGUCUCACAGCUACCACCAGGCCAGCUAGAAUCCUGCCCCGGAAUGUGGUCCUGUUCUUCCUCUGGCUUAAAGGGGCAUUUGGCAAGCUGUUCUUCCCCCAUCACUCCACCCCUGCCUAAAGUGGGGGUGCAGGAAUCCCUUUGAUGUCAUGUGCACUCUAGGAGCUAUGCCAAGAGAACUGGGCUGCAUCUGGAGCUUCUGCACCCGCUGACCAGAAUGGGACCUCGGGUUCCUAAAUCCAAGCUUAGGUCACCCAAAUCACGUGUAUCAGAAGAAACAGUGCCUUCGGCAGCUACCUUUAUGGGAACAGUUGCCAUCCCCUCUUGCCAGCCCAGUGCAAACUGCUGUGGGGACAAUAGAUCUUGUUUCUGUUUCACAACAGCAGUACUCACAAGAGCCAAGAGGUGGAAACAACCCAAAUAUCAUUGAAAAAUGGAAAGAUAUAUUUGCUCUUUGGUUGGUUGAAUCCACAGAUCCAGAAACCAGAAUACAGAGAGCCAAUUGUAUAAUAAAAGUUGUUCAUUUGUG